rnacentral:rRNA from 1 species
GGUGAAUACGUUCCCGGGUCUUGUACACACCGCCCGUCACACCACGAGAGUUUGUAACACCCGAAGCCGGUGGAGUAACCUUUUAGGAGCUAGCCGUCGAAGGUGGGACAAAUGAUUGGGGUGAAGUCGUAACAAGGUAGCCGUAUCGGAAGGUGCGGCUGGAUCACCUCCUUU